rnacentral:tRNA from 4 species
AGCUCAGCUGGGAGAGCGCCUGCUUUGCACGCAGGAGGUCAGCGGUUCGAUCCCGCUA